rnacentral:rRNA from 1 species
AAAUUGAAGAGUUUGAUCAUGGCUCAGAUUGAACGCUGGCGGCAGGCCUAACACAUGCAAGUCGAACGGUAACAGGAAGCAGCUUGCUGCUUUGCUGACGAGUGGCGGACGGGUGAGUAAUGUCUGGGAAACUGCCUGAUGGAGGGGGAUAACUACUGGAAACGGUGGCUAAUACCGCAUAAUGUCGCAAGACCAAAGAGGGGGACCUUCGGGCCUCUUGCCAUCAGAUGUGCCCAGAUGGGAUUAGCUUGUUGGUGAGGUAACGGCUCACCAAGGCGACGAUCCCUAGCUGGUCUGAGAGGAUGACCAGCCACACUGGAACUGAGACACGGUCCAGACUCCUACGGGAGGCAGCAGUGGGGAAUAUUGCACAAUGGGCGCAAGCCUGAUGCAGCCAUGCCGCGUGUAUGAAGAAGGCCUUCGGGUUGUAAAGUACUUUCAGCGGGGAGGAAGGUGUUGCGGUUAAUAACCGCAGCAAUUGACGUUACCCGCAGAAGAAGCACCGGCUAACUCCGUGCCAGCAGCCGCGGUAAUACGGAGGGUGCAAGCGUUAAUCGGAAUUACUGGGCGUAAAGCGCACGCAGGCGGUCUGUCAAGUCGGAUGUGAAAUCCCCGGGCUCAACCUGGGAACUGCAUUCGAAACUGGCAGGCUUGAGUCUUGUAGAGGGGGGUAGAAUUCCAGGUGUAGCGGUGAAAUGCGUAGAGAUCUGGAGGAAUACCGGUGGCGAAGGCGGCCCCCUGGACAAAGACUGACGCUCAGGUGCGAAAGCGUGGGGAGCAAACAGGAUUAGAUACCCUGGUAGUCCACGCCGUAAACGAUGUCUACUUGGAGGUUGUGCCCUUGAGGCGUGGCUUCCGGAGCUAACGCGUUAAGUAGACCGCCUGGGGAGUACGGCCGCAAGGUUAAAACUCAAAUGAAUUGACGGGGGCCCGCACAAGCGGUGGAGCAUGUGGUUUAAUUCGAUGCAACGCGAAGAACCUUACCUGGUCUUGACAUCCACAGAACUUUCCAGAGAUGGAUUGGUGCCUUCGGGAACUGUGAGACAGGUGCUGCAUGGCUGUCGUCAGCUCGUGUUGUGAAAUGUUGGGUUAAGUCCCGCAACGAGCGCAACCCUUAUCCUUUGUUGCCAGCGGUCCGGCCGGGAACUCAAAGGAGACUGCCAGUGAUAAACUGGAGGAAGGUGGGGAUGACGUCAAGUCAUCAUGGCCCUUACGACCAGGGCUACACACGUGCUACAAUGGCGCAUACAAAGAGAAGCGACCUCGCGAGAGCAAGCGGACCUCAUAAAGUGCGUCGUAGUCCGGAUUGGAGUCUGCAACUCGACUCCAUGAAGUCGGAAUCGCUAGUAAUCGUGGAUCAGAAUGCCACGGUGAAUACGUUCCCGGGCCUUGUACACACCGCCCGUCACACCAUGGGAGUG